GCUCUCUGAUUAUAAUUUAAGGGCCGCAGUAUAUUGACUGUGCAAAGGUAGCAUAAUCAUUAGUUUUUUAAUUGGAGACUUGUAUGAAUGGUUAAAUAAUACAUUAACUGUCUUGGUUUAUUGAAGUAUAAAUUUAUUUUUUAGUGAAAAAGCUAAAAUAUUUAAAAGGGACGAGAAGACCCUAUAGAAUUUUAUUAAAUAAUUAUUAUUAUUAUUUGUUUAAGAGUUGAUAAUAUUAAUUAUUUAAUUUAAUUGGGGUGAUUAAAAAAUAAGAUUAAUUUUUUAAAUAUAUUAUAAGAUGAUUAAAGUGUACACAAAGAAUUAUAUCCUUUAAUAAAGAAUAAAGAUUAAAUUACCUUAGGGAUAACAGCGUAAUUAUUUUUGAGAGUUCUUAUCGACAAAGUAGUUUGCGACCUCGAUGUUGGAUUAAAAUAAAUGUAAUAUGUAGAUGUAUUAUUAGUAAAGUCUGUUCGACUUGUAGUAUUUUACAUGAUCUGAGUUCAAAUCGGCGUGAGCCAGGUUG
rnacentral:rRNA from 1 species